GUAAGCAUUAUUAUUACUAUUACUACUAAUCUUGGUAACUCAUUUGGGAUUAGAUUAGAUUAGAUUAGAUUAGAUUAGAAUGAUCAGCUAGUAAACUGGUGUCAAACAAAAUGUAUGGAAAUAAUAUAUAAAAUCUUAUGUUUGUAUUAGAUGUUUAUAAUAAGCAAAAUUCAUAAUGAAUCAUAUGGAAAUACCUAAAAUCCUAGUUCACCAUAGUAUAUUUAAAGCUUGGUUUGUCAAGACAAUUCUGUGAUAAACAUUUGAAUUUAAUUCAACAGCUGUAAGUGCAUAAAACCUGACUCGUGAUUUCUUUAUAUUUUUAUGUGUUUUGAAAAAGACAAGUGGUGAUGGGAACAAACAGGUUGUCAGGGACCUUAAACCUCAUCAUGCUGAACAGGUGUAGCGGUCUGAUUCCGUGGGGUGUCAUCGCGCAGUAAAUGCUCGCUUUGGACCUACUGGUGACUGAAUUAGCCCUGUGUAUAUGGCCUAUUGGUGUCAGGUGUGAGGUCAUUAUCCUGCCACAUAUGGAUGGGACAGGUGUCUGAGAGGCUUUACACCACAGGACCUCCAUUACAGGCCAGAAGAAGACGCACACUCGGAGCGGGCCACUGCAGGGAGCUGCAUUCAUCAGAUUCUACCUUCCCCAUUUUAUUUGUGUAUCUGCUCUUCCUUCUUCAGUCAGAUAAAAAGAGCCAUCGGGUGGACAGGCCAAGCCUGAUGAAUACAGAAGGGAAGGAGGAGGGUGGGAGAUUAGAGCCCUGGAGAGAGAGAGAGAAAGAGCUUGCUGGAAAACGAAAGAUAAGCGGAAAGAGGUGAACAGGAACACUUGUCACUGCAGAUGUUGGCCUUGAUUUCUCCGAGCG
ensembl:lncRNA